rnacentral:rRNA from 1 species
UACGGGGGGGGCAAGCGUUGUUCGGAAUUACUGGGCGUAAAGAGCUCGUAGGCGGUUUGUCGCGUCUGCUGUGAAAACCUAAGGCUCAACCUUGGGCUUGCAGUGGGUACGGGCAGACUAGAGUGCGGUAGGGGUGACUGGAAUUCCUGGUGUAGCGGUGGAAUGCGCAGAUAUCAGGAGGAACACCGAUGGCGAAGGCAGGUCUCUGGG